UGCCAGCCGCCGCGGUAAUACGUAGGGUGCGAGCGUUGUCCGGAAUUACUGGGCGUAAAGGGAGCGCAGGCGGCCAGUUAAGUCUGAUGUGAAAGCCCACGGCUCAACCGUGGAGGUGCAUUGGAAACUGAUUGGCUUGAGUACAGAAGAGGAAAGUGGAAUUCCAUGUGUAGCGGUGAAAUGCGUAGAUAUAUGGAGGAACACCAGUGGCGAAGGCGACUUUCUGGUCUGUAACUGACGCUGAGGCUCGAAAGCGUGGGUAGCAAACAGGAUUAGAUA
rnacentral:rRNA from 1 species